GGGGUAAUGGCCUACCAGGCGACGACGGGUAGCCGGCCUGAGAGGGUGAUCGGCCCAUUGGGACUGAGAUACGGCCCAGACUCCUACGGGAGGCAGCAGUGGGGAAUAUUGCACAAUGGGCGGAAGCCUGAUGCAGCGACGCCGCGUGAGGGAUGACGGCCUUCGGGUUGUAAACCUCUUUCAGCAGGGACGAAGCGUGAGUGACGGUACCUGCAGAAGAAGCACCGGCUAACUACGUGCCAGCAGCCGCGGUAAUACGUAGGGUGCGAGCGUUGUCCGGAAUUACUGGGCGUAAAGAGCUCGUAGGUGGUUUGUCGCGUUGUUUGUGAAAACCCGGGGCUCAACUUCGGGCUUGCAGGCGAUACGGGCAGACUUGAGUGUUUCAGGGGAGACUGGAAUUCCUGGUGUAGCGGUGGAAUGCGCAGAUAUCAGGAGGAACACCGAUGGCGAAGGCAGGUCUCUGGGCAGUCACUGACGCUGAGGAGCGAGAGCAUGGGUAGCGAACAGGAUUAGAUACCCUGGUAGUCCAUGCUGUAAACGGUGGGCGCU
rnacentral:rRNA from 1 species